UUGUGCAAAGCAUUGUUUUGU
ensembl:piRNA 21ur-3286 ncRNA